rnacentral:lncRNA from 1 species
AAUACAUACAAACUACUUAUUGCAGUACUAUUACUAUGUUUAAGAGUUAGAAUAGCUAGAAUUUUUGAAAUUCAAGGUCUAUAGUAGGGGGUUCAAUAUACAACAGGGGGUCAAAAUACCAUGGCAAAGUAAAAUUUUCAAAAUAUCUUUUCCAUCAUGUUAAAUACAUACAAACUACUUAUUGGAGUACUAUUACUAUGUUUAAGAGUUAGAAUAGCUAGAAUUUUGAAAAUUCAAGGUCUAUAGUAGGGGUUCAAUAUACAACAGGGGGGUCAAAAUACCAUGGCAAAGUAAAAUUUUCAAAAUAUCUUUUCCAUCAUGUUAAAUACAUACAAACUACUUAUUGGAGUACUAUUACUAUGUUUAAGAGUUAGAAUAGCUUGAAUUUUUGAAAUUCAAGGUCUAUAGUAGGGGGUUCAAUAUACCGCAGGGGG